rnacentral:tRNA from 1 species
GUCCCUGUAAUAUACGCAAUAUACUGGUCUUGUAAACCAGAAACGGAGAAAAACUUCUCCCCGGGGCA